rnacentral:rRNA from 1 species
AGAGUUUGAUCCUGGCUCAGAUUGAACGCUGGCGGCAUGCUUUACACAUGCAAGUCGAACGGCAGCGCGGGGCAACCUGGCGGCGAGUGGCGAACGGGUGAGUAAUACAUCGGAACGUACCCAGAAGUGGGGGAUAACGUAGCGAAAGUUACGCUAAUACCGCAUACGUUCUACGGAAGAAAGUGGGGGACCUUCGGRCCUCAUGCUUUUGGAGCGGCCGAUGUCUGAUUAGCUAGUUGGUGAGGUAAAGGCUCACCAAGGCGACGAUCAGUAGCUGGUCUGAGAGGACGACCAGCCACACUGGGACUGAGACACGGCCCAGACUCCUACGGGAGGCAGCAGUGGGGAAUUUUGGACAAUGGGCGCAAGCCUGAUCCAGCAAUGCCGCGUGAGUGAAGAAGGCCUUCGGGUUGUAAAGCUCUUUUGUCAGGGAAGAAACGGCUGGGGWUAAUACCUCUGGCUAAUGACGGUACCUGAAGAAUAAGCACCGGCUAACUACGUGCCAGCAGCCGCGGUAAUA